rnacentral:lncRNA from 1 species
UGAAUAUGAAAAAUUUAAAGGAUCUUGACAUCCCAUCAGACUGAUUUCCAAAACCUUUGUAUCCUUUUAUGAGUAUCCUAAGAGUACUUUUUCCACCAUACCGUUAACAGCACUGCAGGAUUAGGAGCUGAAGGCCCUCAUGUACAGCAGAAGGAAGAGAGCAAAAUGCAAGGAUGUCUAAAACCAAGGAAGAAAAGAACAGAAGGAAGAGGUUGGGAGCCUCAGGGAAAGUCUCGAAGGCUUGGAAAUACACACUGAGGAAUGGAAGAAGAAACUGGCCAUAGGCAUGUAGCAGAACACCUGAGAGGCCAUUACCCCACACGUCUUCCCAGCCUGACUUCCAUGGUUUAUUAAUCUUCCAGUGCUUUGGACUCUCAGCGUCUCUGUGGAAUUUCAUAGACAAGCAGGCAAGGACAGAGAUGAAGUUAUAAGAAGAGCCAGAGCUGUGUGGUGGCUUCUCAGCAGGCCUGGUCUCAACCAACCGGAAGGUUUUUUAUCUUCAACUUAGUAGCCCAUUUUCUUUCUUUCUUCCCAUCCCCACACUCACCACUCCCUCCCUGCUUUCUUGUUAGUAGUAAGGCGUUCCCAAACCCCUCUAUUUCUCUCUGCAUUUCCCCCACCAUUUGCAGACUCUCUACAAUGAUGCUGGGAGAAGCGAAGGCCCCUGCACUCCAAAGGGACCACAUACCAAGGGAACAGUAGUGAAGGACAAAGAGAGAGACAUCGAAGGAGGGAGAGUCGACAUAGGAUGUAUGACCACACUGGCCAUUGUUAAGAGCGACUGGUUGCUUGAUUCUGGAAAAACAUCUUCUGAAAAG